AGAAACAGGAGACAGUAAAUUAAUAUAUAUAUUUUUUUCUGUUUUGAGUGCGCCUAAGAGAACUCAAUAAAGAAAUAGAAAUAGGAUCAAUACAUUCUGUCUGAAAAUCAGUUUAGAAGGAGCCACGGUGUCUCAAGGAGGAAACACUAACUAGUUAAAAAGCCUUUCACGAAACAAGUUAGAAACCUUCUGGUAAAUCCUUUGGAUGUUUCAGACAUACUGGCAUUAACUCAUAACCACCCAAACACUUCCCAUAUACGAUCAGUCCUAUUUAUGGCUUUUAGGUCAUAGAAUCACAGGAUCAUGAAGGUUGGGAAAGACCUCUCCGAUCCCCAAGCACAACCCCAGCCCACUCCACCAUGCCCACUGCCCACGUCCCUCAGUGCCAUAUCCAAAUGGUUCUGGAGCACCCUCAGGGAUGGUGACCCCACCGUUCUCUGGGCAGCCUGUGCCACUGCAUCACAGCUCUUUGAGAGAAGAAAUGUUUCCUAAUACCCAACCUGCUGUCAGGCUGAUACUGCCAAAACUCUUGUUAUUACCGGUAAAAUCUGCUUUGUGCUGUCAGAGCACCCUGAGGAGCUUGGAGGGCUGGAGCAGGGCACAGCCCUCUCCUCACACCUGGAGUUGGAGCUGCCUGGGACCACCAGCCCCAUCCAUCUCGUACAAUUUCCCUCAGAUCCCUGGGGGGGCUGCACACACAGAGCCUUUCUGCUGAUGAGAAGAGAGGAUUUCCUUUAAAGUAACUCCUUCACACAAUGAGUUCUCUGCCCUUUCUUCAGGUGCUCUCAGUACUACCCAGGCUAUUCCUACUCCUCCUCUGGGGCCAGAGGACGUGACCUGCUUUCACUUUCUCUUUUCUCAUCUUUCUCCCCCUCCCAUAAGACUGCAGUGUGCUCUCUUUACAUUACUCCAAGGCCAAGAACAGCCCACUCUGGCUCACCUUGUGAUUCCUCAGACCACAUCCCUCGGAGAUGCUCCAUCUGUACUCCGUGCAUUCAGAUCUGUCACGCUGCAGGGUCACCUCCUUUGUGUGUCACGUUGUCCCCUUGACCGGGGUGCAGUCAUGCUUUAAGUCACUAAGCUGAACUCAUGGGCCCCAGGAUUGUACUCAAAUAGCAGGACCUGUUUCUGCUGGGGCUGAAGAGUGAGUGGAUGAGGCCAAAGGCUCUUGGUGGUCCCCAAGAGCAUAUCUGCAGAGGGUUUUGGAUGGGGCCAAGAAGAAGUGCUCACAAGUGUCCCCAGGACCACUGCAUCCCCCAGGAGAAUCUUGCAGAUAUUUUCAGGAAAUUCCUUUAUAACAAAUACGGCUACCAGAGGAACUGGUUGCAAGUCCAGGCAAAUGAUGUAGGACAUUCAUGAUGGUAUUAGCGUUGCUCUUCCUUCCCUUGGUCACACAGGCUGCAGGGUACUCAAACUUCAGUCCUAUUUUGGCACCACAAACAACUUUUCAUCCUACUUCAUCUCUACUAAUUUAUUAAAUCCUGAGUGAGACUGCAAGUCCAUUAAAAUAUUUAAAUGCUGUUUCACAUUUUGAUAAUGAUUUAAAAAACAAAUAAUGGGGAACUUUUUGUUCUUAGAAUCUUAUGGAACAACAGCACUUAUUCUAGCAGAAAAUGACAUUCUAAAUCUGAAUGGAUAACCUUUGCCCAGUGAGGUUGUGCAUACCCCCGCCCUGGAAGCAUUCAAGCCAGGUUGGAUGGGAUUUUGAGUAACCUGGUGUAGAGGGAGGUGUCCCUGCUAUAAGAGGGGGGUUGGAACUAGAUGAUCUUAAAGGCCCCUUCCAACCCAAACUAUUCUAUGAAGUUAAAACAUUAGACCUGCUGGAUUGUGUGGUUUCAUCCAAAAAGCUCAUCUUACUGUUUCAUCCCAAUCUAUUUCAUUUUUCAAAUGUCAGAUAAGACGUUAAGAAGCUAGAAGUGGUAGUUUAGAACUACCAUAACAAUGAUUUAACAUGGAUAAAUGCAACAUAAACUGUACAACGUCGUCAUGUAUGUACACUCCAUAGUUUCUAUCUUCUCUUUUGAAUGUUUUGAUCCUGAAACAAAAGUAGGGAAUCUGAGUUUUGGGAGGAGUAAAAAGUAUCCCUGACCUACAAUCUUAUUUUCAAAGCAUGGCUUGGUAACCUCUUGGAAUUUCCUCAAGGUUUUGUAAAUAUUCUGCUGAGUUCUUUCAAGGUGUUAAUAUGUCAUCCAAAAACCAGAAAGUACUAUUUAUUCUCCACAGGACUCAAUCCAUUCUUCUUCGAAAUCCUGCAGGUAACCAGCUCCCCCCUAGGGUAAUCUCUCAUACUUCAGUAGGCACAUAAGUAUGUGUUAAUUUAGUCAGAAUUAGUGUUUCUUCUCCUUUCCUUCUCCCCUUCCCUUUCCACUUUUCCUGCUCUCUUUCCUUUUUUUCCUCCCCUUCCUUUUCCCUUUCCUUUCCUUAAAUUUUGUUUGCUAUGUUGCUGCCAGGCUUUGGACAAGUGAAGCCUGAAAAAAUCUAUUCCCUCUCUCAGUUUUGUAGGUAAACCCAUGGCUUGGGGAUUUUUAUAGGCACACUGAAUACAGAACUUCUACAUGUAAAAUUAUAUCCACAUUUUCAUCCCCUGUCCAUGUUUUCCUUGCAUGUUUUCAGUGCAAUUAUAUCUUUAAUAAUGGUGUAAUUGCAGAAAUCUUGCAGAAAAUACAAGACUUUAAGCAUUGCAACUGCAAUGUAGAUUUUUAUACUACAGAUUUAUUGGUGAAUAUUUUCUGUUGCAUUUGCAUAAAUACUAUUCCAGAAUAACAAGGUUUCAAAAUAUUUCUCUGUUUCAUUUAACUGGAAGGUCUGUGAUAUAGAGUUAUUUCAGAGAAUCAUAGGAUGUCUUGAGUUGGAAGGGACCCCAAGGAUCAUCAAGCUCCAACCACCCUGCCGCAGGCAGGGCUGCUAACCUCCAUAUCUAAUACUAGACCAGGCUGCCCAGGGCCCCAUCCAACCUGGCCUUGCACACCUCCAGGGAUUUCAUCUAAGAAUGCUUGUUUUUUAUUAUAUCUCUCUUUCAUUAUUACUUUUUUUUUUUUUUAAUGAAUAUAGUCCCCAGAAAACAGAUACAGACGACAAUAGUGAUCUUUGUGAAGAAGCAGCUUUGAAGCCCCCUUUAUUUACCAGAAAACUAUCAUUCCAGAUCCUAAUAAAGCUCAGAGAUUCAGCUGAGCUCGCUGUACUGCAGCAAGCUUAAAUCACAGCUGAAGUGAAAAGAGAGAUUCAGAUUAUGUACUUCCAGAGAAGUGCCCAAGCUCACAGCAGUAAAUAAACACACCUACAAGAGAGGACAGUUUUUCUCCACUCAGCGUAUCCCCAGAUUUCCUUCUUCACUGCUACGUUACCCAUGUGGCAGAUCAGGGCAGAAUCACAAAAAAUUCCUACAUUUUUCUUGUGCCAUAAUAUCACCUCCACUUAUUCCUGUACCUGAUCACUUGUGAUUAAGGCCGAUGAGGAAGACUAGUUUCAAGGGAUGCAGAAAGUUUAGUCGUCCACACAAAACCAUAACGACUCUUCAUUUGUUUUAUACCCCAAGGACAGAUUUCUGCCUGUAGUCAGCAGCACUGAAGCACAUCUUACUCUCAACUGAUGGACUAAUCUGACUCUCUGAGCUACCUUGCCUUGCUCUGAAAACUGAGAUUGCAUGGGAAGAGUUUCUACCAUCUCCUGUACUUAACCAUGAUUCUCCCAACUCAUGUCACACCAAAUUUAACCGUCAACUCUAAGUAAAAUGGAUUAAAAGUCUCCGGAGAGUGAUGAUCUUCUAGAGGGAGAGGCUCCAGUGACUUUUGGAUUGCCAAAAAGAUGAAGACUUUUUUUGCCUCUUAUGAAAUUUGAAAAGAUCACCACUUUAUCUUAGGGCCAGGUCGUUUAAUUACAACGAUUUACCACUGAUAUUAAAACCAAACGUGAUAAUUAUUAAGAAAUAACUAGCAAUUAAUAAAUGUAUUUUUAAAAUAACUAUGACCUUUCACCUUACAGAUCCAGAUUUAAUUAUUGGAAUACUUCCAUCUUUAGAAGAUUAAAAAUAUCAUUUUUCUGGUAGUCAGUAAGAUCCACUGUAUUGCCCAUAAAGAGCCAUGUCUCUGUUACUCAUUAAAUAGAAGUUUUAAAGAGUUUUUAAUUAAGGGAUGAACAAGUAAAUUCAGCCCAUAAGACAAGCAGGACAUGUAUAUGUGGAAUAAAACAAUAAAUAAAGAGAGGAUUAAAUACUUCCAAGUUGUUCAAUGAUGAAUUAAACAAAAGUCCAAAUACAAGAUUUCCUCACCCUUCCUGCUCAAGAUUUAUACCACUAAUCAGCCAAGUUUCAAAUCCUUAAUACAGUAAAGCAUUUGCCUUUAAGGCAGCAGCAAUUCAAGAUUGCUAGCAAAAUGAAUGUAUUUCCAUUAGGCAAAAUAAUUAGGUCAUAUAUUCUAACAGUAUCUUUGGACUUAAAUCUCUUUGGUGAAGGGAACUGUCAAUCACCUACAAUUCGAUCAACAAUCUUGGUCAGAAACCACCCCAUAUGUGGAAAGAAAAUUACAAGUGACUUUUCUGUCCCUUGCAUUUAUUCAAGGUCAUUCAUAAAAAAUAACAGUGAAAUGACAGGUUACAUUUUGUCCUACAAAUCUGGUGCUUUUUGAGGAAUAUAUUUGAAUACUACUUUAUGUUUAUUAAAGCCAGUAUGAGUACCUAUGCAAAUUAAAACUCUUCAAAUCUCCACAUCAGAAUGAACUCAUGCAUUUUAGUACAACUUUUCAGGGUGUUGCAGGUUUGUAAUUGUGAGCACAGUAAAUCUUU
ensembl:lncRNA